CCAGACUCCUACGGGAGGCAGCAGUGAGGAAUAUUGGUCAAUGGCCGCAGGGCUGAACCAGCCAAGUCGCGUGAGGGAUGACGGUCCUAUGGAUUGUAAACCUCUUUUGUCAGGGAGCAAAGGGCGCCACGUGUGGCGUUUUGCGAGUACCUGAAGAAAAAGCAUCGGCUAACUCCGUGCCAGCAGCCGCGGUAAUACGGAGGAUGCGAGCGUUAUCCGGAUUUAUUGGGUUUAAAGGGUGCGCAGGCGGAAUGUCAAGUCAGCGGUAAAAUUUCGGGGCUCAACCCCGUCGUGCCGUUGAAACUGGCGUGCGCGAGUUGGAGAGAAGUAUGCGGAAUUCGUGGUGUAGCGGUGAAAUGCAUAGAUAUCACGAAGAACCCCGAUUGCGAAGGCAGCAUACCGGCUCCACACUGACGCUGAGGCACGAAAGCGUGGGUAUCGAACAGGAUUAGAUACCCCCGUACC
rnacentral:rRNA from 1 species